CACCCUCCAAGCUCUGCCUGAUGUUGGAUGCUGCGGACGCCCCUCUGGGGGCACCGCACGUCUGGAACGCGUGGGCGUCCGGCCUGUCGAGACCCGCGAGCGUAGCAAGACUCUAAGUCAUUUCGCUCUGUCGGGGCUCCAGCGGACCGCCUCCCAACCUUCUCUCUUUAGAGGGGUUACCCACAAGA
rnacentral:misc_RNA from 1 species